UACGUAGGGUGCAAGCGUUAAUCGGAAUUACUGGGCGUAAAGCGUGCGCAGGCGGUUUUGUAAGUUUUGUCGUGAAAUCCCCGGGCUCAACCUGGGAAUGGCGAUGAAGACUGCAAGGCUAGAAUCUGGCAGAGGGGGGUAGAAUUCCACGUGUAGCAGUGAAAUGCGUAGAGAUGUGGAGGAACACCGAUGGCGAAGGCAGCCCCCUGGGGUCAAGAUUGACGCUCAUGC
rnacentral:rRNA from 1 species